AUGGCCUGGACAGCACUCUUCCCUCUCAGCCUCCUCCUUCAUUGCACAGUGUCCCUCUCCCAGCCUGUGCUGACUCAGCCAUCCUCUGCAUCUGCUUCCCUGGCAGCCUCGGUCAAGCUCACCUGCACCCUGAGCAGCGAACACAGUGACUACACCACUGAAUGGUAUCAGCAGCAGCCAGGGAAGGCCCCUCAGUACCUGAUGUAUAUUAGCAGUGACGGAAGCUCCAGCAAUGGGGAUGGAAUCCCUGAUUGUUUCUCCUGCUCCAGCUCUUGGGCUGACCACUACUUAACCAUCUCCAACCUCCAGUCUGAGGAUGAGGCUGACUAUGUCUGUGGUGCAAGUUAUACCAUUAGUGGUUCAUUUGCAUGA